AACGAACGCUGGCGGCAUGCCUAACACAUGCAAGUCGAACGAGACCUUCGGGUCUAGUGGCGCACGGGUGCGUAACGCGUGGGAACCUGCCCUUAGGUUCGGAAUAACUCCCCGAAAGGGGUGCUAAUACCGGAUAAUGUCUUCGGACCAAAGAUUUAUCGCCUUUGGAUGGGCCCGCGUUGGAUUAGCUAGUUGGUAGGGUAAAAGCCUACCAAGGCGACGAUCCAUAGCUGGUCUGAGAGGAUGAUCAGCCACACUGGGACUGAGACACGGCCCAGACUCCUACGGGAGGCAGCAGUGGGGAAUAUUGGACAAUGGGCGAAAGCCUGAUCCAGCAAUGCCGCGUGAGUGAUGAAGGCCUUAGAGUUGUAAAGCUCUUUUACCCGGGAUGAUAAUGACAGUACCGGGAGAAUAAGCGCCGGCUAACUCCGUG
rnacentral:rRNA from 1 species